rnacentral:rRNA from 1 species
AGUGAACGCUGGCGGUAGGCCUAACACAUGCAAGUCGAACGGCAGCACAGUAAGAGCUUGCUCUUACGGGUGGCGAGUGGCGGACGGGUGAGGAAUACAUCGGAAUCUACUUUUUCGUGGGGGAUAACGUAGGGAAACUUACGCUAAUACCGCAUACGACCUACGGGUGAAAGUAGGGGAUCUUCGGACCUUGCGCGAUUGAAUGAGCCGAUGUCGGAUUAGCUAGUUGGCGGGGUAAAGGCCCACCAAGGCGACGAUCCGUAGCUGGUCUGAGAGGAUGAUCAGCCACACUGGAACUGAGACACGGGCCAGACUCCUACGGGAGGCAGCAGUGGGGAAUAUUGGACAAUGGGCGCAAGCCUGAUCCAGCCAUACCGCGUGGGUGAAGAAGGCCUUCGGGUUGUAAAGCCCUUUUGUUGGGAAAGAAAAGCAGCAGGUUAAUACCCCGCUGUUCUGACGGUACCCAAAGAAUAAGCACCGGCUAACUUCGUG